CUAAAUUUAAGUGUUACUUUAAAUUCUGGUGAUAUGGUUACUCACCUUUUAUAUUCAGUUAGGAGGUGUUGAUUUUAGUGUUAUUUCUCCUCAGUACACCAUUUCUAAUAAUGGCUAAUACACCACCAAACAAAAACUGCUGAGAAUGUAAGGGAAAGCUAAAAUUUCCACUAGAUGGAGCAAUAUUUAGUUAUCCAAAACUCAUCCCUCCUUUCAUUCAAGUCUUUACAUUAUGUGUACAGUUCAAGUAAGUUUAUAGUGGAAUUUCAUUCUCAAAUACAUUCCCUAAACCAUCACCAGAUCUAAGCAUUCUACUUAACCAGACCCUCCCUGUGCUUCUCAAAUCUUUUAGCUCCCAUUUUCAGUCUUUGUAUGGCUUGCCCUACACCUGUAAAAUCUUCCCUGUCAUCCAUGAUUUUCCUGUUCAUUCAUCUUGACAACCUGUUAUCGCCAUCCUCAAAUACUUCGCUUUCAUUUUAAUUGUAAUUUAAUUAGAAUAUACUGACCUCCUCACAGAAAGCUGUUCUCCUUUGAUUAGUAACGCUUAAAAUACUAUUUAAAGUGGUCUUAGCCUGCACUUGCAUUUUCCUGAACUGUCUCAAAACAGCAUAAAUAUAAGAAUCCAUCAAAGUCAAGUACUGUAGGUAGAGAUUAGGAAGGGGAAGCAGCCGAUGACAGAUAGGUCUGACAUCAGUGAGGAAGCUGGAAGAGCACCCAGACCCAUCAGGGAAGCAACCAUUAUACUACGGUUAUAAUUGAGAAAAUGAAACAUUGUAGUCAGGACCUUGAUUAAAUAAAUUCAGCCUGCAAAAUGUUGAUCAAAGUUAACCUAUAACUCUGAUUAGGAUUUCAAUAGAAAAAAAUGUCAAAUUAAUUAGAAUCACCAUAUUUUAUAGCAGAUUUAGAAUCUCUUUUGGAAUUCGUGUACCCUGAUUAUUACCGUUCGGCGGGCCAAUUAAGUUUUAGAUAAUAUUCCUUUAACACCCGAUUGACUGAUGUCCCCCUCAGACACCCAUAUUAGUAUAAUGGUUUCAUCCCUCUUUUUCAUUUUUUAUUGACACUGAUGGUUAUAGAGACUUCCUUAUUGGAAUUUUCAUCUAUAUAAUAUGUAGACUUUGGGGACAGAACAGCAAAGGAUACAGUAUUAGAUUAUUCUGAUGAUAAAACCUAAUGUAUUCCUUGGAAUUUUAUAUAAAUCUUUUUGUUUCGGGGACAUUUUUUGUUUUCUUUUCCCCUAAAAUGAUGCAGGGUAGUGGAGGACUUGAUAUUUCUGAACACCUCUGACAUGAUUUACUUCUAAAUCCCUACCUCUCAUUUGAUAAGGUCAUUUAGGAAGUUGACAAUAAAUGACUAUGACCCUGUAGACGAAACAGAUUAGUGGCAUACACCGGCAUUUGGAGAGCCAGCCAGAAACUAAGUAUUUUGAUUCUGAUGCUACUACCCAAGAUGGAAUUUUACUCUCCAAUUGUGCUGGGGUUUUUUUAAUCAAAUCAUUAUUUUCUCAUGGGUUACUUUAAAAUAUCUUCCCCAUAAUUUCCAGGCAAUUGUAAAAAUAAACCUCACUUAAGGUACAUUGAAUACUACAUAAUAACUAUAUGUGUGGGGAAGGACCCGAAUGUGGUUUUCUGGAUAGGAGCAAACAGGGGCUUUUCAGUACAAAGGAGGCCACGUUGUCAGUGUUCCAAAGCUUUUGCUCUCUUGAUUAUUCUGGCCCCAUUCCAUUCAGCCCCUCCACUAAUCAAUCACUAGAUCCUGUUCCAAGGAGCGGUGGGAGGGGCUUUAGGGAGGAAAACCUGAUUAAUCUGUCUCUGCUUAGUACUGGUUACAGUUGUGGCCAGAGAAGCAUUCAUAAUCAUAAUCCGAAUUAUAUUUUUGUUAUUGCCUUGUGGAUUUUAAUUAUCCAUCUUGUCUAAACUUGUUCUCUGUCAUCCUGGAUAACAAAGUGUUUGUGGGAGCAGAGCUUCACACACACCAGGGGAUGUAAUAAAUGUUUGCACUUGGCUCAGUAUAUUAUGAUGUGGCACAGUAAAUAAAGUUUGUGUACAAAAUACUAGCUUAUUUCUAUGGGAGCCCUUAUGUUCAGGAUAUAUAAAAUGUAUCUAAUUAAAUCAUUAUGAAUCUAUUUUGUGCUCUAGAAAUGUUCUUUGGGGGAAAUAUGGGGAAAAAUGUGUCAGUGGAACUAAGAAAAUACUACGUAUCAAACCCAGAUUAAAUUUUCUAAGUCUGAAUUUAUUUUGUUAAAAUUCGUAUUUCCAGACUGUACAUUGCGUGAAUCUUUUUCUUAAAUAGAACAUGACUUUGGGUUGUUUAAUACAUAAUUUUAAGAGCA
rnacentral:lncRNA from 1 species